rnacentral:rRNA from 1 species
CGGACGGGUGAGUAACGCGUGGGUAACCUGCCUCAUACCAGGGGGAUAACAGUUAGAAAUGACUGCUAACACCGCAUAAUAUAGUGAAACCGCAUGAUUUUGCUAUCAAAUAUUUAUAGGGUAUGAGAUGGGCCCGCGUCUGAUUAGCUAGUUGGUGGGGUAAAAGCCUACCAAGGCGACGAUCAGUAGCCGGCUUGAGAGAGUGACCGGCCACAUUGGGACUGAGACACGGCCCAAACUCCUACGGGAGGCAGGCAGUGGGGAAUAUUGGACAAUGGGGGAAACCCUGAUCCAGCGAACCGCCGCGUGAGUGAAGAAGUAUUUCGGUAUGUAAAGCUCUAUCAGCAGGGAAGAUAAUGACACGUACCUGACUAAGAAGCCCCGGCUAACUACGUGCCAGCAGCCGC